GUGCGUAACACGUGAGUAUUUACCCUUUAGUGAUGGAUACCCCCGGGAAAUCGGGGCUAAUACAGCAUACGUCUCUACGGAGAGAAAGGUGGCCUCUUUGCUACCGCUGAAGGAUAAGCUUGCGGACUAUUAGCUUGUUGGUGAGGUAAUGGCUCACCAAGGCGAAGAUGGUUAGCCGACCUGAGAGGGUGAUCGGCCACAUUGGGACUGAGAUACGGCCCAGACUCC
rnacentral:rRNA from 1 species